rnacentral:rRNA from 1 species
AACUAGCAUAUCAAUAAGCGGAGGAAAAGAAACCAACAGGGAUUGCCCUAGUAACGGCGAGUGAAGCGGCAACAGCUCAAAUUUGAAAUCUGGCCCUCGGGUCCGAGUUGUAAUUUGCAGAGGAUGCUUUUGGCGCGGUGCCUUCCGAGUGCCCUGGAACGGGACGCCUUAGAGGGUGAGAGCCCCGUACGGUUGGACACCAAGCCUCUGUAAAGCUCCUUCGACGAGUCGAGUAGUUUGGGAAUGCUGCUCUAAAUGGGAGGUAAAUUUCUUCUAAAGCUAAAUAUUGGCCAGAGACCGAUAGCGCACAAGUAGAGUGAUCGAAAGAUGAAAAGCACUUUGAAAAGAGGGUUAAAUAGCACGUGAAAUUGUUGAAAGGGAAGCGUUUGCGACCAGACCUUCGCCUGGCGGAUCACCCGGUGUUCUCACCGGUGCACUUCGCCAGGUCUAGGCCAGCAUCGGCUCUCGUGGGGGGAUAAAAGCCCCGGGAACGUAGCUCCUUAGGGAGUGUUAUAGCCCKUCGCAUAAUACCCUCGCGGGGGCCGAGGACCGCGCUUCGGCAAGGAUGCUGGCGUAAUGGUCGUCAACGACCCGUCUUGAAACACGGACCAAGGAGUCGAACAUUUGUGCGAGUGUUUGGGUGUCAAACCCUCACGCGUAAUGAAAGUGAACGGAGGUGAGAGCCCUUGCGGGCGCAUCAUCGACCGAUCCUGAUGUCUUCGGAUGGAUUUGAGUAAGAGCAUAACUGUUCGGACCCGAAAGAUGGUGAACUAUGCGUGGAUAGGGUGAAGCCAGAGGAAACUCUGGUGGAGGCUCGCAGCGGUUCUGACGUGCAAAUCGAUCGUCAAAUCUGCGCAUGGGGGCGAAAGACUAUCGAA